UGGGGAAUUUUGGACAAUGGGCGAAAGCCUGAUCCAGCAAUGCCGCGUGUGUGAAGAAGGCCUUCGGGUUGUAAAGCACUUUUGUCCGGAAAGAAAUCCUUGGCUCUAAUACAGUCGGGGGAUGACGGUACCGGAAGAAUAAGCACCGGCUAACUACGUGCCAGCAGCCGCGGUAAUACGUAGGGUGCAAGCGUUAAUCGGAAUUACUGGGCGUAAAGCGUGCGCAGGCGGUUUGCUAAGACCGAUGUGAAAUCCCCGGGCUCAACCUGGGAACUGCAUUGGUGACUGGCAGGCUAGAGUAUGGCAGAGGGGGGUAGAAUUCCACGUGUAGCAGUGAAAUGCGUAGAGAUGUGGAGGAAUACCGAUGGCGAAGGCAGCCCCCUGGGCCAAUACUGACGCUCAUGCACGAAAGCGUGGGGAGCAAAACAGGAUUAGAUACCCUGGUAGUCCACGCCCUAAACGAUGUCAACUAGUUGUUGGGGAUUCAUUUCCUAGUAACGUAGCUAACGCGUGAAGUUGACCGCCUGGGGAGUACGGUCGCAAGAUUAAAACUCAAAGGAAUUGACGGGGUCAUAGCUGUUU
rnacentral:rRNA from 1 species